rnacentral:rRNA from 1 species
UACGUAGGGUGCAAGCGUUGUCCGGAAUUAUUGGGCGUAAAGAGCGUGUAGGCGGCCCGACAAGUCCGCUGUGAAAGUCCAGGGCUCAACCCUGGAAUGCCGGUGGAUACUGUCGGGCUAGAGUCCGGAAGGGGCGAGUGGAAUUCCUGGUGUAGCGGUGAAAUGCGCAGAUAUCAGGAGGAACACCGGUGGCGAAGGCGGGUCUCUGGGCCGAUACUGACGCUGAGGAGCGAAAGCGUGGGGAGCGAACAGG